rnacentral:rRNA from 1 species
AACGAACGCUGGCGGCAGGCCUAACACAUGCAAGUCGAGCGAACCCUUCGGGGUUAGCGGCGGACGGGUUAGUAACGCGUGGGAAUAUACCCUUUGGUACGGAAUAGCCUCGGGAAACUGAGAGUAAUACCGUAUGUGCCCUUCGGGGGGAAAGAUUUAUCGCCAAAGGAUUAGCCCGCGUUGGAUUAGAUAGUUGGUGGGGUAAUGGCCUACCAAGUCUACGAUCCAUAGCUGGUUUGAGAGGAUGAUCAGCAACACUGGGACUGAGACACGGCCCAGACUCCCACGGGAGGCAGCAGUGGGGAAUAUUGGACAAUGGGCGAAAGCCUGAUCCAGCAAUGCCGCGUGUGUGAAGAAGGCCUGAGGGUUGUAAAGCACUUUCAAUCGUGAAGAAAAGUUGCAGGCUAAUACCCUGUGACCUUGACGUUAACGAUACAAGAAGCACCGGCUAACUCCGUGCCAGCAGCCGCGGU